GCCGGGCUGGAUGAUGAUGUCGGAAUCGCCCAGCUCGGGGCCGGGCGCGACGUCGAUCGACGCGUCCGCCUGGCC
rnacentral:tRNA from 1 species